rnacentral:misc_RNA from 1 species
UAGCAAUCUAAGUGGGUCUAGUCGUUGUGGCAAUAGGCCUCAUAUGGCUAAGGACUUGAGGUGGGAAGCCAUUCGUCAUUUUCAGAGGCAGCAUGGAAGCUUAGGUUUGAAGCACUUCAAGCUAAUCAAGAAGCUUGGCUGUGGGGAUAUUGGGUCUGUAUUGGGUCUGUUUAUCUUGCUGAGCUUACUGGUACAAAUUGUCUGUUUGCUUUGAAAGUGAUGGACAAUGAAUUUUUGGCAAGCAGGAAGAAGAUGUCUAGGGCUGAAACUGAAAGAGAGAUUUUGCAGAUUCUGGAUCAUCCUUUUCUCCCUACAUUGUUUGCCCAUUUUGUGUCCGAUAGAUUCUCAUGCUUGGUUAUGGAGUAUUGUCCAGGUGGAGAUCUACAUGUGCUAAGGCAGAAGCAACCUAGCAGAAGUUUCUCUGAACAAGCAGCAAGGUUUUAUGUUGCUGAAGUCCUUCUUGCUCUA